GUACAGAACGACAGGCAGGCAGGCAGGCUCAGGGUCAGGAGAGGCAGAGGUCAGUAAUCCAGGGCAGAGUCAGUAAGGUACAGAACGGCAGGCAGGCAGGCUCAGGGCAGGCAGAGGUCAGUAAUCCAGGGCAGAGUCAGUGAAGUACAGAACGGCAGGCAGGCAGGCUCAGGGCAGGCAGAGGUCAGUAAUCCAGGGCAGAGUCAGUGAAGUACAGAACGGCAGGCAGGCAGGCUCAGGGCAGGCAGAGGUCAGUAAUCCAGGGCAGAGUCAGUGAAGUACAGAACGGCAGGCAGGCAGGCUCAGGGCAGGCAGAGGUCAGUAAUCCAGGGCAGAGUCAGUGAAGUACAGAACGGCAGGCAGGCAGGCUCAGGGCAGGCAGAGGUCAGUAAUCCAGGGCAGAGUCAGUGAAGUACAGAACGGCAGGCAGGCAGGCUCAGGGCAGGCAGAGGUCAGUAAUCCAGGGCAGAGUCAGUGAAGUACAGAACGGCAGGCAGGCAGGCUCAGGGCAGGCAGAGGUCAGUAAUCCAGGGCAGAGUCAGUGAAGUACAGAACGGCAGGCAGGCAGGCUCAGGGCAGGCAGAGGUCAGUAAUCCAGGGCAGAGUCAGUGAAGUACAGAACGGCAGGCAGGCAGGCUCAGGGCAGGCAGAGGUCAGUAAUCCAGGGCAGAGUCAGUGAAGUACAGAACGGCAGGCAGGCAGGCUCAGGGCAGGCAGAGG